UAUUUAUAUUAUUCAAAACUAACAAUAAGAAGAGAAGAUCUUAGGUUAAUGUACGCUUGAAAAGAGAGAUUUAUGAUUAUGAGAUUAUGAUAACGUGAUUGACAAUCGGUAAGGUAGUAAUCGACAAAGAUUUUAAAAACACCUAUUGGCGCUAACCGAAAUUUUUUAAAUAAAUAAGAUGGCGUCUACAAACAAUACGUGUAUUGCUCUACUUCUUUCUUUCUUCCAAAAUUUGGAGUGUAUGAAGUAAUUUGACGACCAUUUAACAUUUUAUAUGGACGCACGAUGAUGCAAACCUCAUCUACAUAUUCUUUGGUAUAAUAACGUGAGAAGAGAAAUAUGCACGGAUAUAUAUAAGAAGAAAGAGAUAGACAAAGAGUGAGAAAAGUGGAGGAAACGCACGUAAUAUUUCUCUCUUUUUCUUUCACUUCGACGACAGACUAGUUCUUGCGAUGUAAUAAUUUUCGUAAUUAUGUUUGUAUGAACGCACGAUGAUGCAAACCUCAUCUACAUAUUCUGUGGUAUAAUAACGUGAGAAGAGAAAUAUGCACGGAAUACAAGAGAGAGAGAGAGAGAGAGAGAGAGAGAGAGAGAGAGAGAGAGAGAGAGAGAGAGAGAGAGAGAGAGAAAGUGAAAAAAGUGGAGGAAACGCACAUAAUAUUUCUCUUUUUUUCUUUCACUUCGACGACAGACCAGCUCCAGAUGCUUUCUACCAAACGGAACUUAUGUCAAGAUCACACAUUGGAUACGUCACAAUGGGAUAUCCCGUCGCGAGAAAGGACAGGAAAUGGGAAUAAGAUGUAUCCUGGUGCAAACCUAUGGAAAAUGUGCAGUCAGACUCGCAAGAGCG